GGCGUUUAUUGGAAAACGGCACAUACCCAGUGCAAUUGAGAUGCAGCCUGCAAAAGUGUUGGGUUGCUGUCUUUGAGGAAUCCUUGCGACGUGGGUUCAAUUCUGCUCCACGUCAGAGAAACUUAAUGCAUCUUUUUCGUCAUUGUAGAGCACCAUAUUCCAGUGGCGCAUACCUAGUUAGCCAAGUUGAUAUCAAAGACAUUCAUUGAAUACCAGCACAAAUCGAGCGGCAUGUACCUAGUGCUCCAAGUCAGCAUCCAAGAGUUUCUUCGAACAGCGGCCCCUACCCAGUCCCACAUCUACGUUGAUCCAUGUUGCCGUGAAAGAGGUUCGUUGAAGAAUGGCACAUGGUGUGCACCUUGCCACAUACUCAGUGACCCAAGUUUGGUUUGAUGGCUGGUUUCGAACCCAGUUGCCUCAGCACGGCAGCUUGAUGCAUUACCGAUUCGACUACGAACUACCCAGUGACUCGGGUAGGUUGGUACAAACAUACAAAGAUAAAUAGUUGGCCCCCAGAAAGUGUGUGAGCUACCCUAAGAAUGCUAACGAUUAAAAGGUAAAUAAUUCAUUAUAUGAAAAAUUUACAUUUCAUUAUAUUGAAGUUCGUUAUAUUGAGGUUCAACAGUACUCCUUAAUACCAGUUUGAUCUCUUAGCUGGCUACAAGUUGCACAGUGCUGUGUGCUUUGCAUAAGGUAGUACACACAGUACAAAGGACCUGCGUGUUG
rnacentral:lncRNA from 1 species